AUUCCAGCUCCAGUAGCGUAUAUUAAUGUUGUUGCAGUUAAAAAGCUCGUAGUUGGAUUUCUGACUUGACGCGCCUGGCCCGCCUUGCAUUUCGCGGGUGAGUGCCGGAGCGCGUCGGUCAUCCUUCUAGAGAACGGCGCUACCCUACACUGGGUCGGCGUCGCAAUCUAGAUCUUUUACUUUGAAAAAAUUAGAGUGUUCAAGGCAGGCUCGCGCUGUGAAUACAUUAGCAUGGAAUAAUAAUCUAGGACUUUGUUCCUAUUUUGUUGGUUUCUAGGAAUUAAGUAAUGAUUGAUAGGGAUAGUUGGGGGUGCUAGUAUUCAGCGGCCAGAGGUGAAAUCCUUGGAUUCGCUGAAGACUAACUUAUGCGAAAGCAUUCACCAAGGAUGUCUUCAUCA
rnacentral:rRNA from 1 species